GGUGGCUCAGUGGUAGAGAGCUUGCCUUACAUGCAUGAAGCCCUGGGUUCAAUUCCUCAGCACCA
rnacentral:tRNA from 1 species